UGAUCACCUGCUCACAAUUUAUCACAUUGUCGGAACAAGCAAUCUACCUCUGGAAAUCUUAUGGCAUGAACACAAAAAUGGAAAAACUUCUAUGGCUUGAACCUGAAAGAAUCCACAAUCUUGAGCAGCCUUGAGAAUUUUCUGAAUGUGUCUUGAUGAGAGAAAGGGGAGCAAAAGCGGAGAGGAUGGAAGAAGGCAGGAAUCUUGGUAGUAGCAAGAAAUAAAACGAAUUUGGAAAGUGGACAGGGCUAGAAAUAGUAGAGAAUACUUCGCACAUUUAUUCCAAAGAUCGCCUGCACAAACACAUAUAACAACAUUAAAAUUCUUCCCUCGCUCAGAUGUUAUGCUAAAACAGAUCUUAAUGCUGCCUCCGAGUCACCGUUCUUUGCUAGGAAUUGGGUCAGGAAAUCCUUAAUUUUGAACGGUUUAUAAAUUGGAGGAUGGAGUACAUCCGUAAGAUCUUUUGCUGGCUCUAUGAUACUGUCUUCUAAAGAAAGUACGAAAAAUGCAGCUGAUGUUCGAGCAGUAUUUGGAUUUGUCACAACUCUGUGCUCUGCACUUUUCAGUUUGUUGUUACUAAUCACCUGCACCCCCAAAAACAUGAUUAACCUCAUUUGCUAUCCAAAAGCUGUUUCUUGAUUCUGAUAUGAAAAAGACGAAAAAAAUUCAUGUGUGUACCUGC